rnacentral:rRNA from 1 species
AGGACGAACGCUGGCGGCGCGCUUAAUACAUGCAAGUCGAGCGAGAACCAGGGCUUCGGCUCUGGGGACAGCGGCGAACGGGUGAGUAACACGUGGGUAAUCAACCCCCGACACCGGGAUAGCCCAGGGAAACUUGGAUUAAUACCGGAUGCUCCAUCCGGCUCUCGAGCCGGCUGGAAAAGGGUAGCUUCGGCCUCCGGUCGGGGACGAGCCCGCGGCGGAUUAGCUUGUUGGUAUGGGUAACGGCCUACCAAGGCGACGAUCCGUAGCUGGUCUGAGAGGACGAUCAGCCACACUGGGACUGAGACACGGCCCAGACUCCUACGGGAGGCAGCAGUAGGGAAUCUUGCGCAAUGGGCGAAAGCCUGACGCAGCGACGCCGCGUGAGGGAAGAAGGCCUUCGGGUUGUAAACCUCUUUCAGGAGGGACGAAGCCACUCGGGUUAAUAGCCCAGAGGGUGACGGUACCUCCAGAAGAAGCCCCGGCUAACUACGUGCCAGCAGCCGCGGU